rnacentral:rRNA from 1 species
AUGGCAUUUGGGCUGCCCCGCGCCGCGGCGGCGGUGGUGACGCUGGUGCUCGGCCUCGCCGCGGCGUCGGCCGUGGCGGACGACGUGGAGAUGGUGUUCCUGAAAAGCGCGGUGGCCAAAGGAGCAGUGUGCCUGGAUGGGAGCGCCCCGGUGUACCACUUCUCCCCGGGCUCCGGCUCCGGCGCCAACAACUGGAUUGUUCACAUGGAGGGAGGAGGGUGGUGCAAGACCCCUGAGGAGUGUGUGAUCCGGAAGGGCAACUUCAGGGGCUCCUCCAAGUUCAUGAAGCCACUCUCCUUCUCAGGAAUCCUAGGAGGCAGCCAGCAAUUCAAUCCCGAUUUCUACAACUGGAACAGAGUCAAGGUCAGAUACUGCGACGGCUCGUCGUUUACCGGCGAUGUUGAAGAAGUGGACCCUAAGACGAACCUGCACUUCAGAGGGGCCAGAGUUUGGGACGCCAUCAUCGAAGAUCUGCUUAACAAGGGGAUGAGCAAAGCAAAGAAUGCUAUUCUUUCUGGAUGCUCAGCCGGAGGUCUAUCGGCAAUACUGCAUUGUGACAAAUUCAAAGACCUCCUUCCACCGUCGGCAUUCGUAAAAUGCGUUUCUGAUGCCGGUUAUUUUAUUGAUGGGACGGAUAUUACCGGCAACAAGUUUGUCAGAACAUCCUUUAAGAGCGUUGCAACCCUACAUGGAUCGAUUAAAAAUUUGCCAUCUUCAUGUACCUCGAGGGUAUCACCUGAGCUGUGCUUCUUCCCGCAGCAUGUCCUCCCAACAAUGAAAACGCCGCUAUUCAUACUUAAUGCGGCGUAUGAUUCAUGGCAGAUCAGGAACAUCCUGGUGCCUAGCGCCGCCGAUAAGAAGAAGGAGUGGGCCAAAUGCAAGGUUGACAUAAAGGGCUGCUCCUCCAGCCAGCUAGUGACCUUACAACAUUUCAGGGAUGAGUUUCUGUCAGCGCUCCCUAAACCGGAGCAGUCUCCUAAGAUAGGCAUGUUCAUAGACUCGUGCUUCGCUCACUGUCAAUCUGGAGCCCAAGACUCGUGGAAUGCCGACAGUUCCCCUUCGAUUCAGAAGAUGAGAAUUGGCAAAGCUGUGGGGGACUGGUACUUCGACCGGGCUGUGUCUCAGCGGGUUGACUGCCCGUAUCCCUGCAACCCGUCCUGCAUUGACAAUGAAGAUGACUGA